rnacentral:lncRNA from 1 species
CAUUUAAUAAAGUACUUCAAGAAAGGGUGACCUCACAAAAGGACUGGCUGGUAACAAGUGGGAGAGGGAGUAUGGAGAGCAUGCUACAUGCAGGGUUGGAAAAUAGAACUGGCCAUUAACAUAAUCUUGAAGGAAAAGAGAAAAUGAAGCUUGUAGCCAAUGCCAUUUUUCAAAAGGAUUGACUUGAUGAAGACAGCUUCUAGGAUAUCCUUUCAUUUGUAUAAAAUGGUGCCUGGAAAAGAUAAAGGACUGUCUGAGACCUCCCCAUAAUGUGACCUCACACUAGGGAAGAGGAAGACUUUGCAAUUUGGUGUCAG